UACGUAGGGUGCAAGCGUUGUCCGGAAUUAUUGGGCGUAAAGAGCUCGUAGGCGGCUUGUCGCGUCGACUGUGAAAACUUGGGGCUCAACCCCAAGCCUGCGGUCGAUACGGGCAGGCUAGAGUUCGGUAGGGGAGACUGGAAUUCCUGGUGUAGCGGUGAAAUGCGCAGAUAUCGGGAGGAACACCGGUGGCGAAGGCGGUUCUCUGGGCCUUACCUGACGCUGAGGAGCGAAAGCGUGGGGAGCGAACAGG
rnacentral:rRNA from 1 species